rnacentral:rRNA from 1 species
GACGAACGCUGGCGGCGUGCCUAAUACAUGCAAGUAGAACGCUGAAGAAAGGAGCUUGCUUCUUUUGGAUGAGUUGCGAACGGGUGAGUAACGCGUAGGUAACCUGCCUGUAGCGGGGGAUAACUAUUGGAAACGAUAGCUAAUACCGCAUAACAGCUUUUGACACAUGUUAGAGGCUUGAAAGAUGCAAUUGCAUCACUACGAGAUGGACCUGCGUUGUAUUAGCUAGUUGGUAGGGUAACGGCCUACCUAGGCGACGAUACAUAGCCGACCUGGGGGGGUGAUCGGCCACACUGGGACUGAGACACGGCCCAGAAUCCUACGGGAGGCAGCAGUAGGGAAUCUUCGGCAAUGGGGGCAACCCUGACCGAGCAACGCCGCGUGAGUGAAGAAGGUUUUCGGAUCGUAAAGCUCUGUUGUAAGAGAAGAACGUGUGUGAGGGUGGAAAGUUCACACAGUGACGGUAACUUACCAGAAAGGGACGGCUAACUACGUGCCAGCCGCCGCCGUAA